GGACUUGUUGAAGGAAAGUGUCAAGGCGUUGAUAGAGGAAUCAGUCAAGAUGAAUAAAGAAGAACAAAGUAGGCUUGAAACUCUCUCAAGACUUCUGGAUGAUGCAAGGUCACUGAAAACCGAGGAAGAUCUGGAGACAUUCAAGCAGACCCUCAGGAAAGCAGUGAAUGAAGCGUUUGAACAAGAGACUGAAAUGAAGUACAGAAUUGCAGCCUCUAUUGAACAGUUCGAAUACAAGAUGAAGG